UACAGAGGUCCCAAGCGUUGUUCGGAAUUACUGGGCGUAAAGCGCGUGUAGGCUGCUUCGCAAGUCGGAUGUGAAAGCCCUGGGACUCAACCCAGGAAGUGCAUUCGAAACUGCAGAGCUGGAGUCCUGGAGAGGAAGGCGGAAUUCUCGGUGUAGAGGUGAAAUUCGUAGAUAUCGAGAGGAACACCGGUGGCGAAGGCGGCCUUCUGGACAGUGACUGACGCUGAGACGCGAAAGCGUGGGGAGCAAACAGG
rnacentral:rRNA from 1 species